ensembl:snRNA U6 U6 spliceosomal RNA
GUUCUUACUUCAGUAGCUCAUAUACUAAAAUUAGAACAUUGCAGAAAAGAUUAGCGUGUCCCCUACGCACAGAUGACACAAAAAUUCAUGAAUUGUGCCAUAUUUUU